AGUGAACGCUGGCGGUAGGCCUAACACAUGUAAGUCGAACGGCCGCACAGUAAGAGCUUGCUCUUAUGGGUGGCGAGUGGCGGACGGGUGAGGAAUACAUCGGAAUCUACUUUUUCGUGGGGGAUAACGUAGGGAAACUUACGCUAAUACCGCAUACGACCUACGGGUGAAAGCAGGGGAUCUUCGGACCUUGCGCGAUUGAAUGAGCCGAUGUCGGAUUAGCUAGUUGGCGGGGUAAAGGCCCACCAAGGCGACGAUCCGUAGCUGGUCUGAGAGGAUGAUCAGCCACACUGGAACUGAGACACGGUCCAGACUCCUACGGGAGGCAGCAGUGAGGAAUAUUGGACAAUGGGCGCAAGCCUGAUCCAGCCAUACCGCGUGGGUGAAGAAGGCCUUCGGGUUAUAAAGCCCUUUUGUUGGGAAAGAAAAGCAGCAGGUUAAUACCCCGCUGUUCUGACGGUACCCAAAGAAUAAGCACCGGCUAACUUCGUG
rnacentral:rRNA from 1 species